rnacentral:rRNA from 1 species
GAUGAACGCUGGCGGCGUGCCUAAUACAUGCAAGUCGAGCGAACAGACGAGGAGCUUGCUCCUCUGACGUUAGCGGCGGACGGGUGAGUAACACGUGGAUAACCUACCUAUAAGACUGGGAUAACUUCGGGAAACCGGAGCUAAUACCGGAUAAUAUAUUGAACCGCAUGGUUCAAUAGUGAAAGACGGUUUUGCUGUCACUUAUAGAUGGAUCCGCGCCGCAUUAGCUAGUUGGUAAGGUAACGGCUUACCAAGGCAACGAUGCGUAGCCGACCUGAGAGGGUGAUCGGCCACAGUGGAACUGAGACACGGUCCAGACUCCUACGGGAGGCAGCAGUAGGGAAUCUUCCGAAAUGGGCGGAAGCCUGACGGAGCAACGCCGCGUGAGUGAUGAAGGUCUUCGGAUCGUGAAACUCUGUUAUUAGGGGAGAACAAAUGUGUAAGUAACUAUGCACGUCUUGACGGUACCUAAUCAGAAAGCCACGGCUAACUACGUG